UAAGAAACUUUUUUUCUUGCCUUCCCACUUCAAAAAAAAAAAAAAAGAUGAAGGGCGAAGACAAAAAAGGAAAGGAAAGAAAGGAGAACUAAUUUGAUUAAAGCAGGAAGAGAGAAUAACAAGGAAGAAAAAAUUAUGUCAAAUCAAACUCCUCAGGUCUGUUCCAUCCAUUCAUCUGCUCGCUACAAGAGGAGAUCCUGUUGUUCACGGCCUGUUCACGAAAGCCCACCCUGCUUCUCCUCUGUGUACCCACAAUUUGAUAAUAAGGAUCACAACAGGGGCCAGGAAUUUCUUUAUGGAACAUAAACGGAGCAAUGGUUUUUAGUCUUUU
rnacentral:lncRNA from 10 species